rnacentral:snRNA from 1 species
CGGAUAAUGGAUCCCUUUUAA